UACGGGAGCAGCAGUGGGGAAUAUUGCACAAUGGGCGCAAGCCUGAUGCAGCCAUGCCGCGUGUAUGAAGAAGGCCUUCGGGUUGUAAAGUACUUUCAGUCGUGAGGAAGGUGUUAAGGUUAAUAACCUUAGCAAUUGACGUUAGCGACAGAAGAAGCACCGGCUAACUCCGUGCCAGCAGCCGCGGUAAUACGGAGGGUGCGAGCGUUAAUCGGAAUUACUGGGCGUAAAGGGCACGCAGGCGGUUAAUUAAGUUGGAUGUGAAAUCCCCGGGCUUAACCUGGGAAUGGCAUUCAAGACUGGUUAGCUAGAGUCUUGUAGAGGGGGUAGAAUUCCAUGUGUAGCGGUGAAAUGCGUAGAGAUGUGGAGGAAUACCGGUGGCGAAGGCGGCCCCUGGGACAAAGGGACUGGACGCUCAUGUGCGAAAGCGUGGGGAGCAAAC
rnacentral:rRNA from 1 species